CGUUAGGGAAGACGGGGUUGCAGCGAUUAAAACUCAUUCUUGGACCUGAAUUUUGCCAACUCUUGGCAGAGAAACAUGUGAACGAUUAGAUGUAAUUCGUGCAGUCAAAACAGUGGUUACAUUUAGAAACUUUGAGUGCAAUCAAUCGAUAGCCUGUGUGCAUGUCACCGUUUUCCCUUCCCUCCACUGGGAACUCCGACAUCUGCAAUAAUAAAACACGUGGUUAAUCAUCAACUUUCAUUUGCUGGCUCGUAUUAUUUUCAAUGUAUUUAUUUCAUUUUAUUUUCGAAUUUAAAACAAUUAAAUAUCGUAUAACAUAAUCGUCG
rnacentral:misc_RNA from 1 species